rnacentral:misc_RNA from 1 species
CGAUGGCAGAUGCAUCGAUGUUUUUUAACAUCACUAAUCACUAGUAGCGACAGUUUUUGCAUAAAAUACAAUUAAAUAAUAAAGGGCCAUCGCCGAAGCUGCAAAAACCAGGUUUUACACUGCUGCAAUUGCUGAAGAGUCUAGUUUAGGUGCCACUCGAAAACAAUACCGGAAAGUGUUACGCGAAAGCCCAGCAGAGCCCCAAAAAAUCAACCCAAAAGUGAAAGCCCCCAGAAAAAGUAAAGUACAAAAGAGCGAAAGGAAGAGCCAGAGAGGUAAAGAAAGAGAGAGCGAAGAGCGUUGAAAGAGUCUGUGCGAGAGAAAAACGAUUUUUUCAACUCCGCGAAUCCUUGGUCAUAUUCCGUGUGCAAAUCCUGGUAAAGCGGGAAGUGAAGUGAAAUACUAGGACCAGGAGCAGAACGCCGUCAAGAUUCUCGGGCCUAUCUACAGCGGUAUCCAGAUCCAGAGCCACGGCCACCAGGACGCAGAAUCCACCUACAGCACCUACAGCACUCCACUAGCCGCCACCACGCUCCACAAACAGCCAGCAGCCAUCAUGUUCGUCAACUCCAUGACGUUCCGCGGCAAUCCGGCGAACUACCACCAGCAGCAGCCGGCCCUGAACCACCACACGCUGGCAGCGGCGCACCACCAGCAGCAGCUGCACCACCACGCCGCUGCAGCUGGUCACCUGAGCCACGUCGGCGGUGGCCACGCAGCCAGUAACCACCUGGCGGCCGCCGCUGUUCUCGGACGGCAUGGCCACAACUCCCUGGGCAGCGGGCACACGUCCACGUCCUCGCACUCGGCCAAUGUGGGCGUGGGAGUCGGCGGGGGAGCUCUGGCUAGCGGCUCCACCGGGGGCAGCGGUGGCAACAGCUCUCCGGACAGUGGCAAGAUCUAUAUCAAGAACCUGGAGCGGUCCAUCGACAACAAGGCGGUGUACGACACGUUCUCGGUGUUCGGAAACAUCCUGAACUGCAAUGUGGCCAAAGACGAGGAUGGCAAUUCACGCGGAUAUGGGUUUGUGCAUUUCGAUUCGGAGGAGGCCGCCCGGGCGGCCAUCGAGAAGGUGAAUGGGAUGCUGUGCAAUAAUCAGAAGGUGCAUGUGGUCAAGUUCAUACCACGGCGGGACCGGGAGCAGGAGAAGGCCACACACUUCAAGAAUCUGUAUGUGAAGAACCUCAGCGAGGAGUUCACCGAGCAGCAUUUGCGCGAGAUGUUCGAGCCCUACGGCCGCAUCACCAGUCACAAGCUCAUGCUGGACGAGGAGGGCCGCUCCCGGCGCUUCGGUUUCGUGGCCUACGAGAACCCCCAGUCGGCGCUGGCCGCCGUAAUUGGCCUGCACGGCAAGCAGCUGGGCGACAACAAGUUCUUGUACGUGGCAAGAGCCCUCAGCAAGGCCGAGCGGCAGCAGGAGAUCAAUCGCAAGCUGGAGGAGCGCAAGCGCCAGAAGGCCGGUCAGAUAUUCUACUACUAAGGCUUCGGCGGCGGCAGCUGAUCCAAGGACAUCGCUAGGAGUUGACUCGGAACCCACACACAUACAAUACACACCCAUAUAUAAACCUAUAUAGAUAUUUACGAGAAAUUGUAUCGAGCAGCUAGGCGGACAUUCAGGCAGCAGGUGGACGGGAGGCAGAUCCUGCGCAUAUACACUUAGAUGUAGGCAAAAGUCUUGCAACACAGUUGAAAUUUAUAGAAAGAACACAGGGCAGAAACAAAGGGAGAGGCAGAACACGAGCUCUCAACCGAAAGGAUUUUCUAGGCAUUAGGACAACAAUUUCUUAGCACUCACUAGCGUUUUUUUGGAAUUAGAUGUUUGUCUUUACUGUUGAAUUUAGUGAGCAGGGGCUUUGCUGUCAGCUUCUCGCCUAAAGAACACAUUGCGUACACACCCGUAUUUCGAAAUGUAUUUACCCACACCAGGCCAACUUUCACACUGGCCCCUUGGCAUUAAGUCUAGAUCGUGCGAUCGCAACUAGAGCUACGCCCAUCACAGUCCUGGGCAACAUAUGAAUAUUUACACUUACCUAAUAUAUAUAUUAAAACCAAACUAAACCAAGAAACAAACGAAAACAAACAAAAAAAGAACAAAAACAAAAUGGAAAAACGGAAAAAAAUACAAUUGAUGUAACCCCUAUUAACAAGUGAAGCACCCACUCCACGUAUAUACAUAACAUAUACAUAUAUCUAAUGUAACUCCACACGCUGUAGUUAGAAAGCGUUUAUAAUACUCACACACCCUACGCUAUAACUAAACUUUUGACGAGGAAAUCAAGUGCAACCAUUGCGAAAGCGAACCCUACACGUAAUUUAUAGAGUAGACGCCGAUGCGGACGAGGAAUAGGUCAGAGCUGGAGAGGAGAGAUCCGACAUGGAAUUAGCAGGGGCCCAGCGCCACUCCUGCGGACAGUACAUGACAGAAACUAAAGUGAAACCCCACAAAACAGGACCGCAAGACAGUAACGACCGUAAUGUAACGUGAACAAGAUGAAAGUGAAAACCUAAUUGAAUGUAACCAAUCCAGAAGUGUACACAGUGCAAUGUUUAAAUCUUUUAGAAUAUUAUUAUGGAUACAAGGCACGAACUAAAUCGCGAAAUCGAAAUAAUUCACAGCACGCUGUAGGCCGGCGUGUGUACAAGUUUGAAAUGAAAGCAAAGCAUGCAUAAUUUAAGAUUAUUGAGCUUAAUUUUUAAAGUCUUUCCGAGAACAGAAAACGAGAGCAAAGUGAAAAGUGAAAAGUAAAAAGUAAAAGGAAAUUAUUAAGAUACCCUACAACGCUAAACUCACUCGAAAUUUGUAAGAUUCAAGUUUUCCGUCUAGACAUAUACACAAUGUAUAGUUAAACAGUACCACACACAAAAGAGGAAAAUUAAACGACAUAAAAUAGU